GGAAGUGUGCCUGAACAUACAAAGGGUCACUGUGAUAAAGUGAACAUAGAGGUACAACAACCCUCUCACUUCCU
rnacentral:tRNA from 1 species